AGCGAACGCUGGCGGCAGGCUUAACACAUGCAAGUCGAGCGGGCACUUUCGGGUGUCAGCGGCGGACGGGUGAGUAACGCGUGGGAACGUGCCCUCUGGUUCGGAAUAACUCAGGGAAACUUGAGCUAAUACCGGAUACGCCCUUUUGGGGAAAGGCUUGCUGCCGGAGGAUCGGCCCGCGUCUGAUUAGCUAGUUGGUGAGGGAACGGCUCACCAAGGCGACGAUCAGUAGCUGGUCGGAGAGGAUGAUCAGCCACACUGGGACUGAGACACGGCCCAGACUGGUAGGGGAGGGGGGAGGGGGGAAUAGUGGGGGAGGGGCGCGAGCCUGAGAGAGCCGGGGCGGGGGAGUGGGGAAGGGGUGAGGGUUGGAAAGCGGGUGGAGCCGGGACGAGAAUGGCGGUACGGGAGGAAGAAGCCCCGGCUAGCUUGGUG
rnacentral:rRNA from 1 species